rnacentral:rRNA from 1 species
GACGAACGCUGGCGGCGUGGAUUAGGCAUGCAAGUCGAACGGUAUCAUCCUUUCGGGGGUGAGAGAGUGGCGAACUGGUGAGUAACACGUAGGUUAUCUACCCUCAAGACGGGGACAACCCAGGGAAACUUGGGCUAAUACCGGAUGUGAGCAACUUUUAGUUGUUUGAAAGGUGGCGUAAGCUGUCGCUUGGGGAUGAGCCUGCGUCCUAUUAGUUAGUUGGUGAGGUAACGGCUCACCUAGGCAAUGAUAGGUAGGCGGCCUUAACGGGUGGUCGCCCACACUGGGAUUUGAGAUACGGCCCAGACUCCUACGGGAGGCAGCAGUCGAGAAUAGUCUACAAUGGUCGGAAGACUGAUAGUGCGACGCCGCGUGAACGAUGAAUCCCUUCGGGGUGUAAAGUUCUUUUAUAUGUGAGCAGUGCUUCUUAUAUUAACAGUAUGGGGAGAGAGAUAUUAGCAUAUGAAUAAGCAACGGCUAACUCCGUGCCAGCAGCCGCGGUAAACUCGU